UUCACCCAAACGUCACGUCCGGGACGCCACAUCCGGUUUUUGUUUUUUCACGUCCGUGAUGUCACAUUCGGCCUUUUUGGCGGCAUAAUAUGGCAUAUGGCAGGCUCGGAGUGCACGAAGCGGUGGAUCGCUUAUUUUUCGGGCUUUUGCUUCUCGUAAGUAUACUUCGUCUUUGCGUUUGAUGUGCAUCUACUACGCGUAGCUAAUCUUUCGACUGCAUGAUGCCAUAUAUAGGUGUUCUGUGAUGAUACUUUAUAGCCAGGUUCCUCACGAGCUUUUGUGAUGCAUUGCAGGGACCGCCACACCGGCCAGCCAGUGCUACAGUGUCCUAAUGCAGAGAACGUAUAUUACACGGAACUGCGCUCCUUCAGAGUUAUUUAGAGUCUUUGUCAGAAGCACGUAACAGUAACAUUACUUGGUUACGGUGCUGCUACAUGGCAGAAUAUUUGAAUGGCAGAUGUCCCGAGUGCGGCAUGUAAGUACGUACGUACGCGCGCUUGUUUAGCCUAAAUAAGAGUUUCUAUUGUUCCCCAAUGGAAAUGCACAUUCCUGAUGCAUGGUUCAGAUCUGCCGGCUAAGGGCGGUAGUGAAUAAAGUCACCAAAUUGCGGCCUCGUUGCGGUCUCGCAUUGCGGCCUCAUUGCACGGUCGGGAAAAAUUGCUUUAGAACCAAAAUUUCGCUGCGCUGUCAGUAGCCAUUCACUGAUAAGCUUUCUCCGCAGCGUAAUGCUCAGUGCAGAUGUGAUGGGGGUUGUGUGUGCGGUCGGUAUGUGACCGAUAUUCCUGAACGCAGUGUCAUUCAGCGAUGUGCACAGCUGUGGCUGAUUGUAGAAUGUGGGCUGUGACAGGAGUGAUGGGGACCAUGCUCCUGCCUCGGCCAAGGUUGCAGCGAUUUCAGAGCUGCAGGGAUCGCCCAGGCAGAACCUAAUCUCGGCCCUAUGCUGCAGCUCCAGCUUCUUGAGACGGGCACGUGGUAGUGCCACGAGUGGGAGGACGUACCGCAGGCGUGAGGUGGCUACUGCAUGGUACAGCCGCAGAGCCCACCUAGUGGUGCAGCUCUGUCCUCGGGCAACAAGCUGGGAGACUGCCUUGUGGACCCGGAGGACCUGGACAUGCAGGGUCUUGACAGCAGGCAGCCAGGUCAGCCGGUGAUGAACGUGUAGCCCCGGGUACGUCACUGCCGGGCUUCAAGGUCGCCUUCCAGUUGCAGCUGUGCAGCGGGCGGUUGCUCUUGGGUGGAGCGGCAUGGCCUCCGUCUUCCUUGCCGAGAUGGCAAGGCCAAUGCAGCUCAGGACAGCAGGCAGUCGGGCCAGGUUGAACAGGAAAGGGCUCACCACUGAUCCUUGUGGGACGCCCUCUACCAAAUAGGUCCAGGGCCUGCUGAACGACUGGAUAGGGCAGGCCGUCAAAGGCCCCCUUCAUGCCGAUAAGCACCAGGAGCACGGCGUCACCGCAGGCCUUGGCCUCUUCCAGCGUGGAGACCACGUCCACGAUGGAGUCCGCACUGCAUCAGCUCCGCCGGAAGCCUAUCUGCUCAUCGGCCAGAAAGCAAUGGCCUCCAUCAGCUUGCAAGCAGCAGAGGUGAGUGAGACUGGCCGAUAGGAGCUCACAUUUUUCAGCCGGCCUUCAGGAUGGGGGCCACGUAGGCUGUGCGCCAUGACUCCGGCACCUGCCCUGACUGCCAGAUGUUUAAGCAGUCAAGCAGGUGCAGCUGCUCGCUGGCGGCCAGGUUGCGAAGCAUUUGGGUUCCUGGUGCACUGGGCUCCUGGUGCACUGCGAUGCUUGGAGCUCGUGCAGCGUCAGCGGGUCCUGGUAGAUAGCCAUAACCUGGCUCGAUGGCCACCCUGGGUGGUGAGAGAGAAGGGAAGACGGAAAGGCAGGGAGGUUAACCAGGCUGAGUCCAGUUUGCUACCCUACACGUGGGGAGGGGAAUGGGGAGUGAAAGAGGAAGAGAGAGAACUUAAGUGUAGGAUGUCUAUAGUCGGGCACUCAAGUCUGUUGCCCUCAGGCAGCGAAAAAGCGCUCGGACUGCUUUCUGGGCCAUUGAACUGUGAGGCCAGGCUCCCAAGACUGGAUGACAGGCCAUUUACAGAAGCGAAGACCCUGUGUGGUGGUUGUGCAGGCAGCUAGGCAGGCUGACGGAAGGCUGCCCUACCUUCAGGAUGGCUGCAGUGCGUGGUACAGCCAGCGCAAACUGGUUGGCGAGGAGCUCCACAAGGGCCUCUUCGCUGAUGCUCAGCGUGAUGGCCACGGCAAGGACAGGUUGUGGGCUUCAUCUCCUGCUGGUGAGGGAUUUGAGCAGUCUCCAAGCCAGGGGUCCCCUGGACCUGCCCUCGAUGGCAGAGCAGAGGCUCCUCCUGCGCCGGGCUUGGCGUCUGCAGCGGGCAUAGAGUUUCAUAUUAGUAUACCUAGAGGCAAAUCUAGCGCUGCGAUCGUUCAACCAUCAUGGGAAUGAUGGGAAGUACAGGCUUCGGAUUGGCAUUUUAUUGACUGGCGAACUAGUCUACAAGUAUUUUUUUGGCAGUUUUGGUUUCGCUCCAAGCGCAAUUGCUAUAACCUGCAGUGGGACAGUGCAACGCAAAGCUCUCUGCCUUUGUUAUAUUGCUCGGAGUGGCGACAGCGCGCUGGGCCAGCGACUGGGACGAUGCUUGUGUCGCGGUGUGGCGUCGAAGUCGUGACGAGAAAGCGGCGGCAUCAUAAACGUUGAAAGAACACUGUAGCGUUACGUUCUUUGUAAAACUUCAGAAUAGGACAAAGAAGGCACUACUGAUACAAGACAUAUACAGUUGUACUUCUAGUGGCUUGAAAAUCAAAUUUUAUUGAGGGCUUCAUUAUGUGCUCGUUUAUGUGCUCAUUGACAUGCGUGUUUUAGGACUUUGAGAACACAAACUUACUUGUGGUAGGAAAGAUAGCUGCUUCCGAGCUGUAGUCUAGUGUCGCACAAUGGGUACCCGCAAAGCCACGCUGUAACGCUUCGGAAGCGGUACGCCAAUAUAAAAUAUGAUGAAGCAUACUCGUAGGAGGCCACUAGCGUCCUAGCUAGCACUGCAGCAGAUGUGCUUAAAAGUACUUGAAGACGUUCAGCAAUCGUGACAGCCGACGCAACCUUUUCGAAAGAGCAAGAGAGUUCGCAAGUGCCUGUCGUCUGCGAGAAAAGUCUCGCGUUUGCAGCGAGCAGGCGUCGUAGCAGACGACACUUUUAGCAUUCCGCUCAAGGGCGCAACGCUUUGCCACAAUACAACAUUUUUAUUUCCAGAAAUACUUGGUGAGUAUUUUUAUAUAAGUACAUGCACGGUUGUUUUGCUGUUGCAAAAAUGAAUAAAUAAUUAUUUUUUGGCGUUAAAUUGCGAACAGAAUCGCACAAGUAUGGAUACCCUGGUGUGUCCUGGUGACAAACCAUAGUAAACCAUGCUUCCAUCUCAAAUUCAUACAAAGUUUAGGUAGCGUGUUGUAUAUUACAUAACCUACUGCAGAAAUAGAAUUUGAUUUUACGCGAUAAUAUUUGAGUAUAGCUUUGUUUACUGCGCCAGAAGCAAACGCCACUUGUCUAAAGACCGAAGUCAAUCCGAAGCCUGUACUUCCCAUCAUUCCCAUGUAGGUUGAGGCAACGCUCAUGAGAACCCCCAUAGACACUAGCGCCACAUUUCCCUCUAGGGUAUUUAUUUAGAAACUCUAUGGCAGCGGGCAUCUGCACGUCUGUACUCGGUCCAAUGCUUUGCCUUGCCCGUCCGGAUUGCUCCACGCUCCAUACGGCACCUGGAGGCGCGAAUGUUGAGCAGGUGGAGGUCCGGAGCGGGGGUAUCUGGUUGGGUAGAGCACUGAACGGUGGCAGCCUGAGCACAAUCCACGAUGGCGCUCAGGAAGUCACGGCCAUCGUCCAACUUGCUGCAGUGCUUCCGGAACAGGGACCAGUCUGUGACGUAAGUUCUUGACCUAGGCCUUCUCCCAGACCUGGGGCUGAUCACAAUAGGGAAGUGGUCAGACCCCCAUUCGUCCGAAGUUGUGGCCCAGGAGUAGGAGCACUGCUCAGUGUUGAGGGAGAGGUCAAUAGACAGUUUUAGUUUAGCGUACGCAACUAUAGCGUACGCUAUAAAAUAGCGUACGCUAAGCAGCGCACGUUUUCUACAAUUUUAGUUGGCCGACGAUAUCUUCAGAUCUCUGAGGCCGUAUACCGUCGUUGCGGCUAUUUCGCGCCUGUAGCGAUAGGUGGCGCUGACAUCUAGAACGUUUCUUUGGUUAGGCUUCGACUCAUUCGAAACGAGAAGCGAUCUCGAAAACACCACGAAGUUAUCCAUAAUACUCUGUCGUCGAAGCGGCCUGAGACUAAGCGAAAGCCGUUUACACAGUUAUUUGCUACGAACGAAGUGCAUUUUACAAAAGCAACACCAAAUUCAAUUCGAAGCGGGCAGCCGGGAUCGCCGCCAUGUUUCCCGCAAACUCCGCAAGCCCCGCAAAAACGCUAACGCUAACUCGUUUGCGUUGCGUACGCCCGCUAUACCCGCUAUUUCGUUUAGUGGUCAGCGCAUGCGCAGUGACGACCCGCUAUUUUUUAGCGUACGCAAUGGAAUAGCGUACGCUAUACUAAAACUGUCUAAUGGCCGUGCGAGCUCUGCGGUAGACGUAGGUGGGCUCCCUGGUGUUCCAAGGUCAGCAGGCCAGCUCAGCUGAUGGCAUCUGUGAGGCCUUUGCCUCAGCGGGUGCAGCUGCGGCUUCCCCAAUCCUUGUGGUGUGCGUUGAAGUCACUGCACAGGACUGCAUGCCCACCAAGGCGAACAGCCAGCUGGAUGAGGCUGGAGGGAUCCCACGGCUUUCCUGGACAGAUGCAGAAGCUCGCCACAGCCGUGUCCUGGCUGCCAAGGCGUACCACAACAGCGCAUGACUCCAAGGGGCCACCGGCGAUGUCAGCAACAGGUAGAACAGCACGCGCCAGGGUGCUGCGGACAUAGAUUGCCGUGCGUGGCUUUCCUGGCUUAUGGACUCCAUCUAGGCAGGGUGCCCAGUGCAACUGCGUGUGGCACAGGUGGUGGCACCCGAGUAGUUGGGAAGCCGUAGGUUCUCGACCACGGCAUAUGUCUCCAGCAGUGCGAGUACCGUAUAGUGCGGAAUAUACACCAGAACACCGUGAAUUCAAAGGGCGCCGCCAUAUUGAUGAGCGCCGGUCGCGCCAUCUAUCCCAAGCGCCGCGAAGUAGCAGGCCUGGGCUGCCACGCCGGGAGAUGCGACCCGGUGCGAAAGCGAAUCUUGGGCUUUUUAGCUGGGCGGAAGGCGUGUUUUGCGUUUUUUCUAACCUGUCAUUUUCGCUGUCAGGAUUCAAUCAAACUUCAAGACCUCAUGCAAGUCCGCAAUGGCCACACUGAGUGCUGUGCAGACUGCAGAAGCGAAUACAUCGGGUAGGUACGCUAUUACGUUUGUACAAACCGCGCGGUAUAUGCUAGAACACGUGUGAGCUUUUUGGCAUGUAACCUGUGAAGGAAUUUACAGCACUGUGUUGGUGCCAUAUAUUAUUAAAGCACGCAGAACACUGUCAUCUGCACUUUCAGUUUGGUCUUGUUUGUCAUGGUCUCUACUGGGUUGGCCGCGUUUGGCAACCAACUGGCGAGGUCGUUUGACUGCCUGGUUAGCAGACGCCUGCCCUUCACCACCUGCACAUUGAAAACAAAAUAGAUGUUAUAGUAAGAAGGGCUGUAGUUCUUUCCCAUGCCAUCACUGUUGCGAAGAUAUAAAGUCCUCUCAAAAUGAAAUAGAAAACACACCAGGGCAAUUGUAUCGUGCAACCACUUAAGAGUACAACAUUCAGAAGAAAAGCCUACAGCACUCGAACAAGCAGCAUAUGAUGCUAAACCUGCACUCAUUGGAAAAUGAGGUACUACAGUAGUUAUAAUGUUCAACUACACGUGCAGUCAAAGCCCGUAUAACAGGGCGAGCAUGACAGAUGCAGGUGUUGUACAGUUGCACAAACCAUGACAGGGCACGUAAAAUUACCAUCCCUACUUAAAGCUGCAUCAUCAGGACCCCUUUGGUACAAGACAACAACCGCACCUGCAUUCCAAGAAAUUAGCCCCACCAACUGCAGCUACCUGGUACCAGACCUGUUUCGCUUGUACGAGGCCAUCGGAUUGUUGGCGCUCCCAUAGAAAAGAAAACAGUAAAAAAAAAACUAUUGAGAACGAUCAAAAUUUUGUAACAAAAUACAAGAAUAAUUAAGCACCUUAUUUUCCUCGCCAUAUGAACGGAAAUAUUUUGCGCUAUGCCCCGCAUAACAGCCCGCACGCAGUUUAGAGCUCAGGAGGCUCAAAUGAAUUCGUUACGAAUGACACCUGCAACACCAGCUCGUAAAGGUAGGUGCGCUGCAAGAACACCUUCGGCGACGAGUAGUCGUCGUUUACGUUUUUGUGGACGCAUGCUACGUGACGAGCAGACUUCGGUUUACUUUCAUUAGCAAUAACGCUCACCAGCAAGGCCUACAACUUGUCGUUCACGCUUAAUGGUCACUCCGUGCACCAGCUGCAAGUAUCGCUAACCGCAAACUCAACUGUUCCGCUUAACCGUCGGGAGCUCUGCCUGAAUGAAAACACGAAAAGGCUUGCCUUUUUGUUAUAGCCAAGGCGAAGCACCGGCGCGGGAUUCUGCUCUUAGGCUUGUUGCCCAGAAAGUGCUCGGAGCAAACCUGCGUGUUACACGUAUUACGUUUGUAGGGCGCAAAGUUGAACGUGGCACCAAAAUAUACACAGAUCGAAUACUCACUCGUGCAUUUUCACUGGGUUGGUAGUUCUUCCUAUUCACUGCAUCUAUCCACCGGUGGCGCAGCUUGGCAUUCUUCGUUGCGGAUGGAAAUCGGCGCAGGCUGAAAAUACCGCACCGGCACGAUUCCCUACGUGUGUUGUGCUCUUUGCAAACAGCGAUAAGCAACCUGCUCCUU